AAUGAACGCUGGCGGCGUGGAUUAGGCAUGCAAGUCGAACGAGAAAGUGAAUUUAUUCGCGAGUAAAGUGGCGAACGGGUGAGUAACACGUGGGAAACCUACCCUCGAGUGGGGAAUAACAUCCCUAACGGGAUGCUAAUACCGCAUAACAUCACAGGUCGCAUGUCCUGUGAUCAAAGGUGGCCUCUACUUGUAAGCUGUCGCUUGAGGAUGGUCCCGCGUCCCAUUAGCUUGUUGGUGAGGUAACGGCUCACCAAGGCGACGAUGGGUAGCCGGCCUGAGAGGGUGACCGGCCACACUGGGACUGAGACACGGCCCAGACUCCUACGGGAGGCAGCAGUCGAGAGGCUUCGGCAAUGGGGGAAACCCUGACCGAGCGACGCCGCGUGGGUGAUGAAGUCUUUCGGGACGUAAAGCCCUGUCAUACGGGAUGAAAAGCAGAUUGGUAAAUAGCCUUUCUGUCUGACAGUACCGUAAGAGGAAGCUCCGGCUAACUCCGUGCCAGCAGCCGCGGUAAUACGGGGGGAGCAAGCGUUAUUCGGAUUUAUUGGGCGUAAAGGGUU
rnacentral:rRNA from 1 species